GAAGGAUUAAGAGUUUUGAUAGCUAUUUUAAAUUGCUGGAUUUUAUGACAGAAACUGACAAAGCUUUCUGGCUCCUGCUGCUCUGUGGUUCAGAGAUGCACAAAGCAGCCCUGGUACAGCACAGCAUCAUUGCCACAUACCUGCAACACUGGAAAAUGCACCAACUUCAGGGGUCAGACAGCACCAACAAGCUUUCUGCAGAGAUCUUCCCCCACACUGUGACAGUGGCAUCUCUAUUUGUGGACAUCACUAAAGCACUACUCAGGAAACACCAAAAACACAAAUACCAAAGUGCAGUUCAGCUCUAAUGAG
rnacentral:lncRNA from 12 species